GGACCUUUAGGAGCUUUCAGGAAUCUGGGCUACGGGACCGCCCACAUCUUCUCAUUUCCCUUCUUCCAAGAGACUCCAGUCUCUCCACAAGUCACCAUGCCAGAGAGAGGCAAUGGGAGCUACAUGGGGAGAAAGCAACAAGUGAUCCUGCAGGGCAUGAAGUCAGCCACGAAGUUCUGAAACAGGAAUGAGUGUCAUCCAAGAUUA